rnacentral:rRNA from 1 species
UACGUAGGGUGCAAGCGUUAAUCGGAAUUACUGGGCGUAAAGCGUGCGCAGGCGGUUAUGUAAGACAGAUUGGAAAUGCCCGGGCUUAACCUGGGAACUGCAUUUGUGACUGCAUGGCUAGAGUUUGGCAGAGGGGGGUAGAAUUCCACGUGUAGCAGUGAAAUGCGUAGAUAUGUGGAGGAACACCGAUGGCGAAGGCAGCCCCCUGGGUCAAGACUGACGCUCAUGCACGAAAGCGUGGGGAGCAAACAGG